AACGAACGCUGGCGGCAUGCCUAACACAUGCAAGUCGAACGAAACCUUCGGGUCUACUGGCGCACUCGUGCGUAACGCGUUGGAACCUGCCCUUAGGUUCGGAAUAACUCCCCGAAUGGGGUCCUAAUACCGGCUCAUUUCUUCCGUCCAACCGUUGAUCGCCUUUGGAUGGGCGCGAGUUGGAUUAGCUAGUUGUUAGGGUAAAAGCCUACCACGGCGACGAUCCAUAACUGGGAAGAGAGGAUGAGCAGCCACACUGGUCGUGGGAAACGGACCAGAAUACUAGGGAAGGGAGCAGAGGGGAAUAUAGGAAAAUGGGGGAAAGGAUGAAGGAGCAAUGACGGGAAAGUGAUGAAGGCCUGAGGGAAGUAAAGCAAUUUUACACGGGAUGAUAAUGACAGUACCGGGAGAAUAAGCACCGGCUAACUCCGUG
rnacentral:rRNA from 1 species